UUCUUCUUUUCGCUUAAAGUUUUAUUAAAGCUUAGAAUUUUAGUCUAUUUUUUUUUUACAUGUAAAUUUUUUUUUUAAACAACAAUUUGUGCAGUAUUUAAUUUUAUAAAUUAAUUUAUUUUGGAUUUAGAAAUUGAUAAGAGUUUUAAUAUAGUUUGUGCCAGCAAUUGCGGUUAUACAAACGAUGCAAUUAAAAUUUAUUGGUUAGUAAUUAAAUGUUUAUUUUAUGUAGAAAUUUAUUAUUAAAUUUUUUAGGUGAAAUUUUAAGUUUAAUAUAAGUUUAUAUAUGUUUUUUGAGGUUAUUAAAAUUUUCUUUUAGACUAGGAUUAGAUACCCUAUUAUUAAAAUUGUAAAAUGUUAUUAUGCCUGAUUAUUAUUAGAUUAUUUACUUGAAAAUUAAAGAUUUUGGCGGUAUUUUAGUCCAUUCAGAGGAACCUGUCCUGUAAUUGAUAGCCCACGAUUUACUUUACUUUUUUUUCCAGCUUGUAUAUCGUCGUGGUAUGAGUAUUUCAGAAGAAUUAAUAAUAUUCAAUAAGUAAAAUCAUAGUUUAUGUCAGAUCAAGGUGCAGCUUAUAAGGAAGAAGAGAUGGGUUACAAUAAAAUUAUUUUUGGUUUGUUUUUUUAAAUAUUAAUUAAUAAAUUGGAUUUGAAUGUAAUAAUUUUUAAAUUAUUAUUGUGAUUAUUGGCUCUAAGAUAUACACAUAUUGCCCGUCACUCUCGUUGAAUAUGAGAUAAGUCGUAACAUAGUAGAUGUACUGGAAAGUGUAUCUAGAAAGAU
rnacentral:ncRNA from 1 species